rnacentral:lncRNA from 1 species
UAAUUGUUGUUUCUGAAUUUGCAGCAACAUAUUUUCUAGUAAUCUGAACAGUAAACAGAAUCAGGAAAAAAACAAAUGUUCAGUGUAUAUAUAUAAUUAAAGAAUAAAGUGAAGGGUAAAUUCUUGUGUUGAACAAUAUUCAGAGACAAAAAGAAUCAGCAAAAGCAUUGUUUUGGCACAAUUUGCUACAAAAUGGAAUAAAUGUUCUCAAAGAAAAAAGUAGUUUCACGAGUGGGCAUAUAUUUGUUGGCUCUCUUUGCAUUUGUAAUUCUUGUCCACUUGUACAUCUGUUCAUCCAUGUCUCUGUGCACCUGUAACAAUUUAAUUUAUGUUUAGUUAUUGAAAACAAAAUUAUCAAGUGCGAAGAAAAAAGAUUACUCGUAGUAUCAGCGAAAGUAGGCAUGUACCACUACUGUAUUUCCAAGGAAAAUAUGUUCCUCAUGAGAUUCAUUUGAAUAUGCGGAAUCCCUGAAGAAUAGAAAGAAAUUAAAUAAAGUUAGGCCACAAAAUCAUAUCUAACAACCCUCUAUUGCUGUAAAUGUUGAAUAAGAUUAAUGUGUACAUGUUGCUGCAGGAAUGAUUUCACCAGUGGUAGUUGAAUUUCAUUGUCUUUACAAUUGACUAUGUGAUAUAAGAACUUCUCACGAAUUUCUUUAAUAAUAAAAGUAGAUGAACCAUUUUAAUGAACAAGUUUAAAAAAUGGAAUGAACAAGAAUUUGUUUAAAAAAUGUUGAACCGAUUGAAACAGGUUUAAUAAACAAUUGUUCAACCAUAAACAAGUAGUUGAACAUCUUUUUUGUUAACAAAUUGAACAAAAAAGAGAUAUGUAAAUAUAUUGAAAAAAAAGUCAGGCAAUGAAUAAAAGUUGUUUAACAAAUGUUCAAAUUUGUUUUUUUCAGUUUAACCUAUUAAAAACAAAUGUUCCAUUUUUUACACAAAAAUGUUCAUCGUAUAUUACAAAAUUGUUCAUGGUAUAUUUCAGAAAAAAUAUUAACUAUGCAUUAUGAAAAUGUUCUCGGAUAUUAAGAAUAUGUUCAACGGAUACUACAAAAGUUCACUGUGUAUUUGAAUUUUUGUUCAGCUUAUAUUACACAAAAAUGUUCAAUGUGUAUUAAAAAAUUGUUCAGCAUAGAACACACAAAACGUUCAAUGCGUAUUCAAAAAAUGUUCAACAUACAUUAAAAAUGUUCAAUGCCUGCCAAAAUUGAACAAUAGAUUUUAAUAGGUUAAACAAAAAAAUGGAACAAAUGAACUCUUAAGAAUUGUCAUUGUUCAUUCUUUAUGAAUUUAGUUGAACAGAAUGUGAAUAAGUUUAAUAGAUGAUGAACAAAUGUUGGAAUGUUAAUAAACAAAAACAAUUUCUGUUUACGCUGAAAGUUGAUUAAUUAAGAAACAAAUACACAGAAUAACAAGUUAAUUAGAACCAUGCUUAAGUAGAUGAUAUUCUGCAGGGCAAACUCUGCAAAAGACAAUAAAAAUUAGAAUAUCACCUAGCACAAAAGGAAACAUCACUCUGUCACCUUUUCUCAUAAAAAUAUGGGACCAAACUUCACUGCAUAUGGAAGACAUAUAUCAUGUUCAGAUUGAGAAUGAUUGAAAAAAUAGCACCCAUGCGGAAUAAGGAAAAUUGCUUAACCAAAUAACACUAUGAAUCACCUUGCACAUACUAUUUGGGGACCAAACUUCACUAACUAUGGAAGAACAUCAUCACAUGAGAACUGCCAAAUUUGUGAGAACGAAACACAUCCAAGCACCAACCAGUGUUCAGAUUGACAGGUUUUGCUUUCAAAUUUCACUCGAUCUACUCUAAUUCUAGACUCAGGUAGCCAACCGGACCAUAUUGUUCUUCCAUAGUGCAUAUGUCAACCAUAUCUCGGGUGAUAUGAAUGACUUUGUUGUUGUGCUCGAAAAUGCCUACUUAACCAUAGCGCAUAUGUUUUGCUAACCAUUGCAGCAAAUCCAUGGGCACAAUCACAUGUGCGCGCACAUUCAGAAGAUGUUUGAAUUAGUCUGACAUAAAGCUUCUCUAAAAAGGAGACAUCUUAUCAACAGCUUUGGCCCAACGAAGAGUAGAAAACCGUGACUGGAAAGUCGCACUGGACCGUACAGGAACAUUUUGGCCUAGAAAAACAAAGAGAGGCAGGUAUAAAAAAAUGGAAACAUAAAGAAGGAAUUUCAGUAUACGACACCGAAAUGAAGAUAGCGCAAGAAAUAUAUAUAUAUAUAUAUAUAUAUAUAUAUAUAUAUAUAUAUAUAUAUAUAUAUGAAAUGCUAACAAAUAAUAUUUUAAAAAUGAAAGGUGAUUACUUAAGAAACAAAUAGGCAAUUAACAUGUUAAUUGAAACCAUUUUUAAGUAGUUGAUACUAUACAGCGCAAACUCUGCUAAAGAAAAUAGUGAAAUAAGUCAUGGUCAGAUUGUGUAAACCAAACACUGUUUCCACGUUUUCUCCCAAACAAAAAGUACAUAAGUCAUAGUCAGAUUGCACAUAAUUUUUCCUUAACGAAAAUUUGCACAUAAAUCAUGCCGAGGAAAAGGAAAAUUCCUGUAUGAAAUUAACACUAUGAUUCACCUUCCACAUAAAUUAACUAAUAACUAUGAUACAGCGAUUGCUUUGGCAACACAUUUAAUCUACUCCAAUUCUAGGUUCAGGUAGCCCACAACACCAGAUUGAUCUAGGAAAGAAACAGGGAGGAAAUACAACCAUCAAAACAAUCUAUAACAGAUCAAACGAAUCCGUACCAAAAAAAGAGCACCGGAAUGAUAUGGGUUAACAAACAGGGAGGAAAUACAACCAAAUCAAAACAAUCCCUAACAGAUCAAACGAAUCCCUACCAAAAAAAGAGCACCAGAUUGAUCUAGGGGUCAAGAAACAGGGAGGAAUUCCAACCAAAUCAAAGCAAUUCCUACCAAAUUGAAAGAAACCCUACCAUCCAUCUGUAAAAUCGAUCCGAAACCCUAAUCACACCAUCCAGCUACACAACACCAUCCACCUCUCUCAUCGAUCCAAAACCCUAAUCGCAAACUACUACGUAGACCUAAUAGGAUCGGGACCAUAACAAUAACCUGCUUCGCUAAUCCGCCAUGGAAAGGAUGGGAGAGGCACAACGAACCUUGGGCAUCCAUGGCGACAACCAAUUCCGCGAAGAGGAAACGCCGGCCGGUGGAUAGCGAAGAAAGAGAGAAGAAGGAAGCGAGGAAGGGAGACGAUAAAGAAAGAAACAGAAUAGAGCGAAGAAGGAAGCGGAGAAGGAGAAGGGAAUAGGAGAAAAAGGCCGGCCCGUCUAAACGCUCGCUUCAGCGAAGGCACGACAAUUUGACGCUAACGAGCGUCAAAUAGGA